GUCUUUGUAGCGAUCAUCAGAUCGUGAUUAUAUUAACUGGCACAACGAGGAUAAAACAUUAAGACUACACACAGAGGGGAGACGGACACGAAGGGGGGAACCUUUAAGCGCAAAGUCGCGAUCCCGAAUGCCCACCUAUCAUCUCUCUCUCUAACCCGUCGCUGCCACGACCGUCGCGACAUCUCCCGUACAUGGUGAAUGUCAUCGAAUACACAACAGCGUCCUGGCGGAGUGCAUCGAACCGCUGGAUGGCGUUUUGGAACCGUUUAUACCGCGUCUCUACACGACUUUUACCAACCUGGUGCGCGAUUCGGAUAGUGGAGUGCGGACCAUUUCUGUUUUUGGAUUGGGAGAACUCGUCCUCCAUGAACGUGAAUUGCUCUUCCCGUUAGUAUACUUACUUAUUAGCGGAAAAAACAUUUUUCAACUGGGCAUCGCGCUGGGCGUAAAAUGAUUUUUUAUUUAUGUUGCAGAAAUUUCCCGCUUAUUCUUGAGUUACUGUCCGAUGCAUUAUAGCACGAAACUAAUCCGCUUGUGCUGGAUAAUAUAUGCGCUGCAUUUACUCGGUUGAUCAUCGUCAACAUCAGUGUAGUAUCCAUGGAUCAGUGCUGAUGAGUCAUCUGCCAUUGCGGGAAGACUUUCACGAGAACUCUUCUGUGCUUAAAUGUUUCCUUUUUCUAUCCUCUAAUGGGCACCCUCUCUUUGCAUCGCAUUUAACUCAAGUCAUGAACGUGAUAUUAACGAUUGCCACACAACAGGAAGUGCAACCUGAGCAAGCCAAAACCCCCUGAUCAAUGAGCUGAUGGUGCACAUCGCAUCUGGUUUUUCUGAUCUGUACAACGGAUAGGAGUCUGCUCUUCCAGCUUAAGUGCAUCAGAAGUUGAAAGAGGUUUUGGCUUAAUUAGUGGGACAAACAUUUUAAACUCUUAAAUCUUCCUUCCCUUAAAAUUUUCAACCUCUUGUUUGGUAUUUUGGUAAAUUUUGUAAUCCGUUUACGAAUUUUGGAGUUGAAGCCGCCGAAGGAAAAGAAUCGAGGGAAUGUGACAGAACCAAAACAACGUACAAUCAGAAAUGUGUGUAAAUAACUAUACUCCCAUUCUUAAUUAAAUAAUUGUUCAAGUUGUCUGUGCUGAUUUGAUUGCGAUACAGAAUCCUACACUGUUGUCGAAAACUGAAUCAUUUGUGAUCUCAAUCAAUCUCACCAUUUUUUUCCCAAAAUGUCAUAACCAGUAAAUAUCACAUAGUCGAUCAAAUUUUCUCCUAAAAUUGGACGAGAGAAUUGAAAUACAA